rnacentral:tRNA from 1 species
GUAAGCGUAAGUCAUCGGUUCAAAUCCGAUAAAGGGCU